GGGCCUGUAGCCUAGCCUGGAUAGGGUGUUGGACUUCUAAUCCAAAGACCGUGGGUUCAAAUCCCACCAGGUCCG
rnacentral:tRNA from 1 species